rnacentral:rRNA from 1 species
UCACUUUCAACAACGGAUCUCUUGGGCUCUCGCAUCGAUGAAGAACGUACGAAGUGCGAUAAGUACGUGAAUUGCAGAAUUCC